GAUGAACGCUGGCGGCGUGCUUAACACAUGCAAGUCGAACGGGAAACCUUUUAUUGAAGCUUCGGCAGAUUUAGCUGGUUUCUAGUGGCGGACGGGUGAGUAACGCGUGGGUAACCUGCCUUGUACAGGGGGAUAACAGUCAGAAAUGACUGCUAAUACCGCAUAAGCGCACAGGACCGCAUGGUCCGGUGUGAAAAACUCCGGUGGUAUAAGAUGGACCCGCGUUGGAUUAGCUUGUUGGUGGGGUAACGGCCCACCAAGGCGACGAUCCAUAGCCGGCCUGAGAGGGUGAACGGCCACAUUGGGACUGAGACACGGCCCAGACUCCUACGGGAGGCAGCAGUGGGGAAUAUUGCACAAUGGGGGAAACCCUGAUGCAGCGACGCCGCGUGAAGGAAGAAGUAUCUCGGUAUGUAAACUUCUAUCAGCAGGGAAGAAAAUGACGGU
rnacentral:rRNA from 1 species